UACAGAGGUCCCGAGCGUUGUUCGGAUUCACUGGGCGUAAAGGGUGCGUAGGUGGUGAGGUAAGUCGGGAUGUGAAAUCUCCGAGCUCAACUCGGAAAUGGCAUUGGAAACUACCUUGCUUGAGGGUUGGAGGGGGGGACUGGAAUACUUGGUGUAGCAGUGAAAUGCGUAGAUAUCAAGUGGAACACCAGUGGCGAAGGCGAGUCCCUGGACAACUCCUGACACUGAGGCACGAAAGCUAGGGGAGCAAACAGG
rnacentral:rRNA from 1 species